rnacentral:rRNA from 1 species
GAUGAACGCUGGCGGCGUGCCUAACACAUGCAAGUCGAGCGGCAGCGCGAGUAGUUUACUACUUGGCGGCGAGCGGCGGACGGCUGAGUAACGCGUGGGAACGUGCCCCAAAGUGAGGGAUAACUUCGAGAAAUCGGAGCUAAUACCGCAUAGUAUCUUCGGAUUCAAGAAUUUAUUCGUUUUGGGAGCGGCCCGCGUCGGAUUAGGUAGUUGGUGAGGUAAAGGCUCACCAAGCCGACGAUCCGUAGCUGGUCUGAGAGGAUGACCAGCCAGACUGGAACUGAGACACGGUCCAGACUCCUACGGGAGGCAGCAGUGAGGAAUCUUCCACAAUGGGCGAAAGCCUGAUGGAGCAACGCCGCGUGCAGGAUGAAGGCCUUCGGGUUGUAAACUGCUUUUAUAAGUGAAGAAUAUGACGGUAACUUAUGAAUAAGGAUCGGCUAACUACGUGCCAGCAGCCGCCGUAA